UCGGCCAAAGUAGGAAGAAAAUGGUCAUGAACAGAUUUUGGGUGUUUGUAUACCGUAAUGAUAAUUACAUUAUAGCCACUACAGAGAAUCGCACACUCCACACUUAAGUGUAUGCUCAGGUGCGGUAGUGGGGUAUCAUUAGGAAGACUUAGAAAUGAACUGGACGUCGAGGGUGUAGAUAGAUUAGCUGCAUCCAAAAGAGUAAGGCUGAUUGGCAAAUUCCCUUCUCUGAGGAUAUGGAUAUCGGUGCUUAUGGAAAGCAAACAGUCUGUAAGGAAGAACACAUGGGUGACGACGGGAAAGCGAUUGCUCAAGACCUUCGUCGGCGGAGAUGCAGUGGCAAGUGGGGGUUCGAAGCGGAGACUUGUUGGGGUGUUCUUAAUGCGAGCAGUAUGCAAGGACC
rnacentral:lncRNA from 1 species